CACAGAAACAGCCACAGAAAUCAGAUGUGCAAUCAUUGAUCCGUACCUUAAAUUAAAACUUAACUUACUGGGAAUGAAUGACAUCAAUAGAAAUAGGCCAUUUUGGCAUUUACUACUUUCUAGUAUUAAACAAGAUGAAAAAGUGAAGAGCUAGAUCUGGCUUACUAUAUGCCGAAAGGGGAGAAGGACGAAUAUAACAUUACAGCUGGUACCAUAUGGUAAAAAUAAUUCCUUAAGAUGGUCCAUUUGCUUUCAAUUUAACAGUUAAUAAAAUACUUUUGUUUGAUUUUCCCCAUUUAGAUCUGUAGUAGUUUAGAUCCCCAUAUGUGAGGAAACUUCCAUUCUAUUAUUUUUCAGAAAUAGUGUCUUUAAAUAUUUCUCUUCCCACUUUCCUAAUUUGUAUUUUUAGAUAUUUUGAAUUUUCUCCCUUCAUCUCUAACUAUGACACUGAGACAGGGACCUGUGCCAUGCCAAGAAGUAAAUGAGUCAUUGCUGUUCACCACUCACAUAAAGUUAUUAAAGGUGUGAGAUAUCAAUGACUGAUGAUCUUGUCAAAUGAUGUAUCCUCUUUUUAUAUAUCUAACAUGAAGUCUUACCAUAACUUCAAGGUUCAGGUUCAAAAAGAAACAAUAAUUUAAGACUUCUGGGUUGCUAUUUUUAAGCUUAGAUGUCCAUUGACAAGACUUAUAUUCAAAGACCUUCUUUAAGACUACUAUAAUCUGCUUUGGUAUGUUUCUUGGAUAUAUUAAUAAAACCUGUUCUAGCACAAAGACAUUGAAAAAUUCACCAGUUUCAGUGUUGAUGUAGAAAGCUACAAUAAUUUGGCUCUGAUCAUGUUGCAGUAAUUGGUCAGAAAGAAGAAUUCUUUCAUCUGAAGUACUGCACAGGGCCUAUCCUUAGUCUGGGAUCCUGAACUGCACAUUGUUAAAGGCAGGAUACCAGAAUCCAUGGAAUAAGGUUGCUGCUGUAUUUGGAGACACAGCUGAAGAGCUUUUCCUCAAACUUUGCUGAAUAUAAUAAACAUGGAAAUACACUAGACAAGAGUAAACAGUUUAUGCUCUGUAGCACCUGGAGAGAACUGAGGUUGUAGGGAAAAAACUCAUUCAGAAUCCUAGAAACUCCAACUGACUUGAAUGUAUGGGAAGCUGUCAGGGUUAAAAUGCUAUAGUAACUGUGAAUUUCUGUCACUCUACACCAGAUGAGGUAAAUAUCCCACAAGAGGAAGCUGAUCUAAAUGAUAAAUUGUGAAAAUAGUAACAAUUUGAAAAAAUUAAUGAAAGAUCCAAAGAAGUGAAGCUCUUGGAUUAGGCCUGAUGAGUAAGCAGGAGCUGAAUCACAUGUUAAUUCAGAAACAUUCUGAAAUGCAGACCCUUGGCACUGAAACUCUGAAAAGCCAAUGAAAGAUAAGGCAAAGGCUAUUCAGGUGGAGUAACUAACAGGGUAAGUUAACGCUUAGGAAAAUGAGAGCAAGAAGAAGGUUUAGGGUCACUAUGUCGAAAGACUAAAUAUUUUCUACCAGUUAAAAAUUUUCAGUCAGUAAACAAAGAAACCAAUGCAGCUAAAACAACAACAACAACAACAACAACAACAACAACAACAACAACAACAACUGACAGGUGUGAUAUUGCAUUCUUCAGAACUGGGGUUUAUUUUUAAGAGGAAAAUAGAAGAAAUCAUAAACAUUGGCAAGAUAAAUAUAAAGGAAGGCCAAUACGAAGUGCAUAAUUUACCAAAGGUAUUAAAAAACUAAUAAUAGAAACUUGUCAAACAUCAAAAGUAGGACACAUGCCAGAGAAUCAGUGAGCCUGACAAAUUAUCUAUGUGCAAAACCUAAUGCUGAUGCCAAGGCUUCACUGUUCAUUGCAGAGAAGUUUAUGGGGUUUCCCAUACACACUGUCCUUUACAGAGGAAGAGUCUGAAGAUUUAUGUCAAAUUGAAGUGUUGAUACAAGGACUUUUGUGCCUAGACAAAAAUGCAAGCUGCACAAUAAUUGUUAAUCAGGACCAUGUGGUAUUUACCUAAAUGGUCCAGAGGAGCUCACUGUGAAGGCUACAACUGAGCUGUGGUGCAUGAUAUAUUGCUUAAAUCAGCUCAUGCAUGAGAAAAAUACAAGGUGAUAAAUACAAUAGAAAAUUUAAAAAUAACAGAGUUAGUGCACAUAUGGAUAAUUACAAUGUAUUUAGGAAAGACUUGAAGAGGAGAGUAAAGUCUUCUAGAGGUAAAGUCUUAUCUUAUAAAUCUAUUUCAGUUCUUUGAUCCAGUAAAUGAACUUGUAAUUAACAUUGAUUCAAUUGAUGCAGUGAUUUUUUUCAGCAAGCAUUUGACAUCUUUCAACAGAAAUGCUUAAAGGAACUAAGCUAUCGUGGGAGUGGUCACAUAGAUUAAUUUUUUAGAAAAUAAAGGGUAGGAAUAAAUAGUUGGCUUGUUCAUUUGAAGGAGGUUACCAAUAAGGUCCAUGUGAGGAGCUAUACUGACUCAAGCAGUUCAUUAAAUGAAUUGGGAAGGGACUGAAGAGUAAGGUGAUUAAGUUAGUAACAGUACAAAAUUAUUCAGGCUAAAACUAAAGCAUCGAGUGUUGUAGAGUUGUAGCAGGGUCUCAUGAUACUAAGUGACUUGCUUCAGAGAAAAUAAAUAGGGAACAAUUAACUGUAAGAAUUUAUUUGCAACUAAUUAAGUUAUGAGACAAGCAGUUCAAAGCAAACAAAAUUAAAUAUGUUUUCUGCAACUAAUUAAAAUGGGAAACUCAUUGUCACAGGAUGCUUUAGAGCCCAAAAUUACUUUUAUAAAAUAAUUAAGACAGAUUCAUGGAAAAACAGCUGAUGCAACAUGGCUAAACACAGCAAUGUAGAUUCAGCCUGUGACUUAAGGAGCCUCUAAACAAAUUAGUACUGGAAUCAGGGAGGUAAACCAAUGGGAAGGUCAUUCUGUAAUUGCACUAUUCUUACAUUCUUCCCUUAAGCAUCCACUUCCACCUGAAUUAACAGAUAAAUGAAUAAAGAGUUUUGAGCACUGAAACCUAAGAAUUGGGAAUAUUCUAUUUGAUUUAGUUGUUUUGUGUUUUUUAAUCUCACCCAGAUGUUUAUAUUUGUCAUAUCUUGUAGGUUUGGGACAAGGACAUCUAUGUUUAGAGAGCAGUUAGUGCAAUUAGGCCCAACAGCAUUUAAAUUCUAGCUCUGAACUUCCAGGUGUUAUUAUAAUAUGAAUAUUGAACUGACUUUCACAGGAAAGACUUGGUGUAUUACCAAAACAAACAAACAAAAACCUCUGUUGAAGAAAAUUGAAUUACAAUGUUAAGCACUUCAGAGUUCAGAAAGAUGUAAUUUAAAGCUCUCCAAGCAAGAUUUAACCUUUGCUGUCCUAGCCUGGAAAAGCUAUAUACAAGUAGAAAUAACUACAGAGGAGAAGCAAUCCAGUGUAGGUGCCAUGUUUAACUUGAUCACUUUAUGUAUUCAUUUAUGGUUUUAUACACACAUUCCACUCAUAUACACACAGAAAGUCAUAAAACCUAAUGCUGCAACUGGGCCCUUCAUUUUACAGUUUCAGUAUGAGUAAUGGAAAAAUGCUAAAUGAAAUAAAACUGAAAUGAGAAAUCUGUGAAUCAGAAGUGUAAAAUAAAAGGGAAGAAGGCGAAGCUUGAGGGAAUAGAAGUGAUAUGUUUUCUGCUGGUUAGCAAAGAAUUUGCAUUAUUGGUGAGACAAACUUAGGUAAUUAUUUUCAAUAAUGGAAGUGCAUUUGGGACAUCUGGCUUGGAUACAAGUGUUCCAGCACUGAACAAGAUCCUGUAUUGAGUAACUUGUUGCAGUAUUUUCUUCAUGAUCAAAUAUAAACAAAAUAUGAAAAAAAAUUUAUACAAUAAAAAAAAGCAAGCAUUUAAACAUGCAUAUGCAUAUAUUUUGGAUGUGAAGAAUGAAGCCUGGGAAGUUUAGUUCCUGAAAAAAUGAAGAGGAGUUUCCAUAUUGGUGAUUUGCCAGAGAAAGCAAAAUCCAGAGCAGCAUUAUGUCAGAGAAGCAAAACACAAAAAUUGAGUGGUGUGGAAAGAACAGAUAGCCCAAGUACUCUGUUUCUCUCUGGUAUCUUUCUUCAUUGCAAACUUCAUAUUUUAAACUUCAAUCUCUUUGCAUCAGGGCUGUCUAGUUACUAAAUGCCACUUUUGGGAUGCUGUUCACCUUAUUUCUACUACAGUUGUCCUCAACCCACCUCGGUACAGAUGGCAUGAUCUGCUAAGGGUAUUUAAAUUAACACCAUCUGAAGUGGAGACCUGUUGGGGAAGAUGACACAAGAAAGCCUUAACAAUAUGAUUGCCUGGCAAAAGAUUUAGGAAAUACAGAGAUUGAAAUGGUAACAAGUUUUGAGAUACCAAACCUUAGUUACUGCACAAGUAGAAAACAAUAGUAUAGCCAGGAUGAAGAAAAUCCCCCCUUCUGGUUGAACAAUGCCCUUACCUACAGAUAGGUCCAAAAGUCAAAUGGACUGUUCUCUCUCACCCCCAAAAUGUAUGGUUCAUCCCACACCUGUAACCCUCCCCUGAAACAUCAAGUGCAUGUGACCCCAUCGGCCUAAGUCUUGUUCCAGCCCACCUUGAAGCCCCCGAUAAGGGGUCCCUGAGGAGCCAGACGCUCUCUUGGAACUUUCCACCCUCUCCUGGAUCAUCCUCUUAUCUCCCUCUAUGCCUUGCCUCUCCCUUCCCCCACUCCCUAGGGCCUGCCACGUGUCACGUCUGGCGACCCCAAGCAGGGCCUUUCACCCUUUAUAAUAAACCAUAUAUUCUAAGAGCAGCCUUCAGAGAUCUCUCGUCUCCAUCCAUCCAAACCGUCCUGGAGUCCAGCAUCCCCACAGAGACUAGUACCUGAAAGUCUUUAUUCUUGAAGAUUGUUUUUCUUGUGGAGUCAAAAGUGCUGAACAGAUUUUGGUAUAAGAGCUGGGCUGUGCAUACAGCCUGGGUGUCCACCUGUGGGGUCUAGAAAAGUCCUGUGGAAUGUGGUCAGCUUCAUUUGAAACACUGUUUCCAUUUUUGACCUAUUCAGGAGUGAGUUGCAGGACACUGUGCUGGACAAGUUGGGAUAUUUCUUACAUUCCCAUUGGGAGGCAUCAUUUUAUCAUUGACUAACACCAGAGAAGGUACCAAGGACCAUGAGUAAUCUUCUCCCAGCCUCAGCAUCACUCAUAUGAGAAUAAGGGUGUCUGUAGUUAUGCCAGUGAGGCUAAAAGAAGAGGCUCACCAGUUGUCAUGCUUCUGGGCAUAAGCUGAGGUCAGAAAGGCUUGGCUUUCUGCUGUGUUGCAGUGUUGGCCUGUAUUGUGAGUAAAAAGCACCUAAGAUAGACUGAUUCCAGUUUGCUUACCAGAUGAUAUCACAAAAACUAUCAGAAAGUUACAUCUUCAGGGAAACAUUGCUCUUCUUUGAGAUCAUGAUUCAUGCUGCUUCCAGAUACCUGUACUGUCUCUUGCUGCAUCAAAAGAAAAUCAUCUCUCUAUUCAUAGGGGUGAAAGGAAAGCAGGGUGUUGCAUCAUUGCAAGUCCCUUACUAUGUGUACAGAUCUAUGUGUUCAAGUGUAAAUGAGCUAAGGUUUCCUGUUUGCUCCCAAGUAGUCUGUCAGCAAAUCCCCAGUCAUGGUGACUCAUGAAAGCAGACAAGCACAUUGUGCUGCCCUAACCACUGAUUUUUGGCCCCCAGACCAUGCAGAGCAGGCUCCAGGCACGCAAGGACAGAUGUAUUUGUUCAGGGACCAUCACCUGCUUCCAGGCUCCAUACACCCCUGAG
rnacentral:lncRNA from 1 species